UAACCUAUGGCAUGGAAUUGGCUGAGACUGCUGUUCCAUUACAUAAAAAAUGCAGCAGCCUUGGAUUGAUGAAAAAAAUUUAAAAAGCUCACUAAAUGAACAUCACAAUCUGAUGAAACUGCAUAUGUCUAAUGACACUGUGACCUUUAACCGUAAACCACCUAAUACCACCAUCAAUUCCUCCUCCCGCUGUUGUCAACCCCGAACGAAGACAAUGAAGCAAUUCCAUUGUGGGGAUCCUUCACGGGCAAGGAUUCUGUUAUUUUACAUGCUACUAUUUAUACAAUUUUUUGUUGAUACCUCCGUUGAUCAAAAGUUGCAGGCAUGGAGGCACCGAACCACAGAUCAAUUCAGAUAUCUUUGGCAGAUCAGACGGAGGACUUCGGGGAUGGUCCAACUCUAUCCCGUGACUCUGCAUCGAAGGCAUAACCGGGUCCCCAAUAGCUGAUUCUCUACAAUCGGAUGGUGAAUUUGCAGCCAAGGUCACGUUGGGGAUGCUCUCAUCGUUGGUUCGGAAUAAUGGAUGGUAUCCAGGUCCAGAUUGACGACCUAAAGAAGUUUAUCGGACCGCAGAACUGUCUCAACACGGAACUGGUUGACCAAGCAACUCGGGAAUGCCAUGUAACUCCUUCGACAUGAAGACUCCUACCCCUUCUGCCACCAAAAAACAAGUUGGGACAACACUGCAAACCUACAAGCGACGCAACAAGCUGUCACCCUCCAAAAUUAACGAUUCGGACUAUCAUCCCAUCCCUACACCACCUUCCAACCUGGAGGAUAGAUAUCAUCACAUUUUGGCGGAAGGACACUAGAAUCCAUUAUGUGUUGAAAAGGAGAUAUAAAACUAAACCUCCAAGGGGAAAAGGAAAUUGUUCAAUGCUAGAAGAGGAAAUAAUGGAACAAAGGAAUCAUGCCCCUACAACAGCAACAGGGACAUCCUGGCUAUGAAAUAGGCUGAGCAGCAGAAUUUCUUACAGGUUUCACAUGUCGAUAAGAGUAGAUGGGCAAAGGGAGUCGGUUCCAUCCUCCCAGGGGGCAUGCCGAUGACAUUUUUCUCGACGGAAGACAUGUAAGUCGUUGGGCUUAACUUGGCAGCAGCUACAUAUAUAUUCAACAACGUCCUGGACCAAGAGUAUGUUUAACCCUGAUAAUACUAUCUUACAUUUGUCACAUUACCUUCUGUUUGCAUAUGAUGGAUAGUGUUGGUUUCUUUUAGAGUCUGUAUGGAAAGCAUUAAUGUGAGGUGAGAAUUUUACUUGUGGUUAUAAUUCAAUUUCGUAUUCAUGUGUUUUCGACAAGCAGUUUAUAUAUUCAUAUGAGGAUUUCUAAUUCUAUUGAAGGUUGACAUUCAUGUGAGAAUUCUAACCUCAAGGUGUUCCACCACUUGCUAGUGCUAAGUUGCUUGUAUAUGAAUUAAAUCUGUGGCGUUUCCAACUUAGCUGGCCACAACCUACUAAUGGAUGUCAUUUGUAGUGAGCUGCUUGUUCCUAAUCCUCACUGUGCCGUCACAUGUGAGGCACUGAAGACCCUUGAGCCCGAAAAGCCCAUUUUGGACGAUGUAAGUCUCUAUUUCCAUAUAAUCAUGUAUCAUUGCAAUGAAUUUGUUGUACAAUCCAUUAAAAAUAUGGUGCUGCCUAAUAGGUUCUGAUACUGCUGGCCUCGAUGCUUACUCGAAGCUCGAGCAGAGUUUAAUGGUUCUUGCCAACAACCCUCACCAAAUUACUACUGGUCGCGAACAGAUACCAUGGGCGACUGUGGAGGCUAUACGCAAAGACUUCAUGGGGAUGGCUAACAACGUGUGCAAGGUAUGAAACUUCAAAAAUAUCUGUAGUACGCACGCCCAUGGUGUUUGAGUUGGUUAUGUUUGCAUUAGUGUCUAAGUGAAUUCUAAAUUUAAACCAUUAUUUUUUUUGAAAACGUCAAAAUCUUCAUGAUGACAUUACCCUCUACUUUGUCUCUUAUUCACCAUGGCAGCCACUCACCUUGAAGUCUCCCAUUUAAUUUUAUAUAUCAAGUUACAUGUAUAUUAUAUAUUGUGAAAUUCGUCCUUUGUUGUUUGAAUUUGCAGUGUAUUAUGAAAAUGGAAUUAUAAAUUACAUUUGGUUGUAGAGUUUUUUUUCAUCUUUUGAAGUAAGAUGAGAAUUAGGUGACUGGAAGAAGACGACGAGUUGGAUUUGAACUUGAAUAAUUUUUUAUUAUGUUACGGCUGAACUAAAGUAUUCAUGAGUCGUUUUCGUGUAUGUGUUCUUGUCUCUAUGCCGAUUUCUUUAUGUUUCUAUCUUUCCGUACGUGGGACAUCUACCAAGCGUAAUCUAAAUGCAUUGUUGAUGAACAAAGUACUUUACAGAUAUUUGCCCCUAUUUGGUCCGACAACCAUUGGUUCCUGCUGGUCAUGGAAUUUUUUGGGAAGGAGCUAGUGUAUUUGGAUUCCCUAAAAGCUGUUGCUUGAGUUAGGGCCAGAAGGAUUAGGCAGAUUAGGAAAGUGGUACAAAAUGUAUUCCUUCUACAUCCUCUUUGUGACUUAUUUGUUGUUUAUAAUUUUUUGUGUAUUCUCAACGUAAUAACGACUCUACUUAUGAUUUUUUUUUACGUAUUUAAGCCAUUUUCUUGGAAGAAAUGCUUGAUGACAAAUUAUGGUAUGAAAACCCAACUGAUGAGAGGUUAUUCAUAAGUGAGUACAAACUUUAUAAGCCAAAGGUUGUCAAACAAGACCAUCAAAGGUAUGAGAUAAGUGGAUGUCAGUUAUUCAUCACUAUCACGUAAUGAAUUUAUUUAAGUCGAUACACGAGUUUUUCAAGUUUGUUUUACACAUAAAUCCUAAAAUUGCAAUGCUACAACAAUGACUGUGGAAUGUAUGUGGCUCAGUGGACGAUAUUGUACCACCUCUGGAGCUCUUACGACAUUGCGGUAAGUAACGUUAUUGCAUAAACUAUUUUGUCUGGUACCAUACCACUGAACAAUAUAUUGAAAUUCAUUUGAAAUAUGCUCUAUAAAUGUUAAUUAUGAUGCAAAAGGUGAUAUACUAUAGCAGGAUAAGGCUUGCCAUUGACAUAGUUCUUAAGUACCACAACGAGAACUGCAUGGCAGUGAUAGAAUCGGCAAUAGAGUAUUGGAGGACCUUCACAAGGGAUCUUUCGAUUACGAAAUAAACCCUAAGUCGUCGACUUAACACUUUUUGGGAGCAGCUAUGAAAAUAUAAGGCCGAACAAAUGGAUCCAUUUUGGUAGUACAUACUUUGGUAGUCCACCACCUGCAACUGUGAUGGAUGAGCCCUCGCACACUAAGAUAUGAAGAUAUAAGGUGCUAAAUGUUUUGCCAAGGUUUAGAUCCCAUGCACACGAAGGUUGACCACUGAGGCCGCUGCUAAUAGGUAUCAUUGUUGAAAGAUAUAAGAAGGCAGUAGCAUUUUCGAUUGUCACUGGGAAAUGGAGCAGCGUCCCUUGCGUUUCUAGCAAGGUUGGGUGCAUAGUUCACUGUCCUACCUUCUUCCUUACAAUUUGCUUUCCCAGUGGAAAAGACGACUAAUUAAUGUUCGCUUAUGUUUUGCAACUUUAUUUUGGACCUAAUUCUAAUUGAGUCGUUGCUUGAUGUACAGUGCUAAACAAUUAUAGGCACACUUUAUGUUUUCAUACUUGAUGCACUAAAGCUUAUUGAGUAAAUUUUCUCAUUUUAAGAAAAAUGCUAUUUAUACACUAUACAAGGGCUUUGUGCCAUCUGCUUUUCAA